CAAUAGCGUAUAUUAACGUUGUUGCAGUUAAAAAGCUCGUAGUUGGAUUUCUGGAGGGAGCGUCGGCCCGUAUUUACGAGUGCGUGACAUCUCUGUCCAUCCUUGCGGGAAGGCACGGCAUUGAUUUGUUGUGUCGGAUCGCAUCAUUUACUGUGAAAAAAUUAGAGUGUUCAAAGCAGGCUUUCGCUUGAAUACAUUAGCAUGGAAUAAUAAGAUAGGACUUUGGUGCUAUUUUGUUGGUUGAGCCUAAAGUAAUGAUUAAUAGGGAUAGUUGGGGGCACCUGUAUUGCGUUGUCAGAGGUGAAAUUCUUGGAUUUACGCAAGACAAACAGCUGCGAAAGCGUCUGCCAAGGAUGUUUUCAUUA
rnacentral:rRNA from 1 species